GAUUAUGUUAUGUCGUGGUUUAAUUAUAUUCAUUCAUAGCUAAUUAAUAAGUUAAUUUAUUUCUUUUUGAUAUCCUUAUUAUGUAUUGCAUUAGAAAGAUUAAAGUGUGUACUAUUUUAUUUU